UACGGAGGGAGCUAGCGUUAUUCGGAAUUAUUGGGCGUAAAGGGCUCGUAGGCGGUUUGUCGCGUCGGGAGUGAAAACCAGGUGCUUAACACCUGGCUUGCUUUCGAUACGGGCAGACUAGAGGUAUGCAGGGGAGAACGGAAUUCCUGGUGUAGCGGUGAAAUGCGCAGAUAUCAGGAGGAACACCGGUGGCGAAGGCGGGUCUCUGGGCCGAUACUGACGCUGAGGAGCGAAAGCGUGGGGAGCGAACAGG
rnacentral:rRNA from 1 species